rnacentral:rRNA from 1 species
CGGGUGAGUAACACGUGGAUAACCUACCUAUAAGACUGGGAUAACUUCGGGAAACCGGAGCUAAUACCGGAUAAUAUAUUGAACCGCAUGGUUCAAUAGUGAAAGACGGUUUUGCUGUCACUUAUAGAUGGAUCCGCGCCGCAUUAGCUAGUUGGUAAGGUAACGGCUUACCAAGGCAACGAUGCGUAGCCGACCUGAGAGGGUGAUCGGCCACACUGGAACUGAGACGCGGUCCAG